GACGAACGCUGGCGGCGUGCUUAACACAUGCAAGUCGAACGGAAAGGCCCUGCUUUGGUGGGGUGCUCGAGUGGCGAACGGGUGAGUAACACGUGAGUAACCUGCCCUUGACUUUGGGAUAACCUCAGGAAACUGGGGCUAAUACCGGAUAGGAGCUCCUGCUGCAUGGUGGGGGUUGGAAAGUUUCGGCGGUUGGGGAUGGACUCGCGGCUUAUCAGCUUGUUGGUGGGGUAGUGUCUUACCAAGGCUUCGACGGGUAGCCGGCCUGAGAGGGUGACCGGCAACAUUGGGACUGAGAUACGGCCCAGACUCCUACGGGAGGCAGCAGUGGGGAAUAUUGCACAAUGGGCGGAAGCCUGAUGCAGCACCGCCGCGUGCGGGAUGACGGCCUUCGGGUUGUAAACCGCUUUCGCCUGUGACGAAGCGUGAGUGACGGUAAUGGGUAAAGAAGCACCGGCUAACUACGUG
rnacentral:rRNA from 1 species